CAUGCAGUCGACGAUGCAGCUCCAGCUUGCUGGGGUGGAUUAGUGGCGAACGGGUGAGUAACACGUGAGUAACCUGCCCUUGACUCUGGGAUAAGCCUUGGAAACGGGGUCUAAUACCGGAUAGGAGCAUUCACCGCAUGGUGGGUGUUGGAAAGAAUUUCGGUCUUGGAUGGACUCGCGGCCCAUCAGCUUGUUGGUGAGGUAAUGGCUCACCAAGGCGACGACGGGUAGCCGGCCUGAGAGGGUGACCGGCCACACUGGGACUGAGACACGGCCCAGACUCCUACGGGAGGCAGCAGUGGGGAAUAUUGCACAAUGGGCGCAAGCCUGAUGCAGCGACGCCGCGUGAGGGAUGACGGCCUUCGGGUUGUAAACCUCUUUCAGUAGGGAAGAAGCGAAAGUGACGGUACCUGCAGAAGAAGCACCGGCUAACUACGUGCCAGCAGCCGCGGUAAUACGUAGGGUGCGAGCGUUAUCCGGAAUUAUUGGGCGUAAAGAGCUCGUAGGCGGUUUGUCGCGUCUGCCGUGAAAGUCCGGGGCUUAACUCCGGAUCUGCGGUGGGUACGGGCAGACUAGAGUGCAGUAGGGGAGACUGGAAUUCCUGGUGUAGCGGUGGAAUGCGCAGAUAUCAGGAGGAACACCGAUGGCGAAGGCAGGUCUCUGGGCUGUAACUGACGCUGAGGAGCGAAAGCAUGGGGAGCGAACAGGAUUAGAUACCCUGGUAGUCCAUGCCGUAAACGUUGGGCACUAGGUGUGGGGCCAUUCCACGGUUUCGCGCGCAGCUAACGCAUUAA
rnacentral:rRNA from 1 species